GCCAGGCUGUUGUGCAUUUUAAUUUCAACAUUUUGUCUUCUGCUCUGCUCCCUGUGUUCCAUAUUCUCACUUCUCGUUCUCAGCCUCAGUCUUUUUCAACUUCGGUUAGCACUAGGUAAAUUCUCUUCUUGCUUCUUCGUUGGCAAAAUGGCACGUUUUUGUGAUUUUUGCUUUGGUUGUUCUUAAAGCACAUCGCAAUCGCACUAAUGCUUGCAGCCUGAUCGGGGCUAUAGCUUACCAUCAGAGACACCUGAUGAUGUCGACGAAACGAUAGUGGAAGCACCUAUAUGUGGCCGUGUUUGGAUUUACGAGUUUAUCUGGUUAAGGACUGGAUUAUGGCUAUUCUAUGUGUCUAUCAUAGAGCCCCUCUCUCCUGUUCUAGCACAGUUUUCUGCGUUGUUUUUGGUUGAGUUCUAAGUGAAGCUCCAGAGUUCAGUGUAGAUCAAUUAUUGUAAUUUUUUUUUUCUUCUUGGUAGAAUCAAGAGAUGCCAACAAAUGUCUGGAGCAGGAAUGUAGAAAAAUCGUGAAAACAACUCUGGUAAUCAGCGAAAUUCUUUAAACAUGUGGUACCACCAUUGUCGAUAGCAAUGGCGAUGGCUAUGGCGACGAUUUUGACGACACGACGACGACGAGUAUGGUGAAGCACGAGGUGUGGGUAGACAGGUAGACGAACAAGUGUUUUGAAGCUCUUUCUCAUUUGUAGGCAUAAUAAAUUUUAUAAAUACAAAAAAAAAACUUGACA